UGAGGUGGCCGGGUGACCGCGGCGGUGGGCUUUCGAGCGAUGCCGUCGAGGAAAGUCGGGACUCCACAGGGCUGGAUGCUGGCGAAAGCCAGGUUGGGGCGACCUGACGGACGUGCAACAGAGAGAGACCGCCGAUGGAUGGUCCACCCUUUCGAGGUUGGCGCAUCACAGGCAAGGCUGAAACGGUGCGGUAAGAGCGCACCAGCGGUCACGGCGACGUGGCUGGCUUGGUAAACCCCAUCCGGAGCAAGACCGAGCAGAGGGAUUGAACUGCCCGUUCGCUGGAAACAGCACCCUCGGGUAGGUCGCAAAGAUGGAUGGUCACCGGCCCGCUUGCGGACCACAGAAUCCCGCUUACAGGUUGCCUCACCAC
rnacentral:RNase_P_RNA from 1 species